UCAAAGAUUCUGAAGUCCCAAAGAAGUCAUACCCUUUCAUCCAAGGCCGAUGGCUUUCAAGAGCAAACGCUUUUCUUUGAACGGACUGAAAGGCUUAUUACUUCCUCUUGAUCUUUAUUUAUUUUUUUAUAUUUUGAAAUUCCACAAGUUAUUUCUACUUCUUUACUUGUGUCUUAAUUAAAUUCCUAAUUGUUGCAUUCAGAACUAUGUCGUUUACUUUGGACAUUCAUUGGGUAGAAAUAUUUUAUUGUUCAUAUAAUUGAGAUAUUUUGAGUUAUAGCUAACUUUUUUUAACCUUAUUAUAGAAAAGUGUUAUAAGAACACCUAUGCAAUGGCCCCAUAACAAGGGAUUUUCCUUUUCCUGUUGGGUCAGAUUAGAAAACUACCUCAAAACAGGAACCAUGGAUUUCUUUAUUUUUCUCACAGAAAAUGGUAGAGGGUGAGUUGCUGCACUUCGAAGAGAUAUAAGAUGAUUUAUGAGGUACCAUGAGCCUCCGCAGAUCGCGAUAUGUGUAAUUCUUCUUAUUGUCAUCAUCACUGGGGGGUGACAAAAUUAGGUGUCUACACAAUGUUCGAUUGUGUAUUCCGUAUUUUGUCUGUCCUUGCCAACAAAUGGCCAUCUAAAUUCACCAUGAAUGACCAUUGUCUACUUUACAAGUAUGGAGUUUUGCGUUCCUCUAACUCUCUAUUCUUCUAUCCUACUCUCUAUUUUUCUUCAUUUUCCAUAACACUUUUAUCUCCCUUAUUACUCACAAUAAAACACAAUCCGUCAAGGCGGAGGUGGUUAUUUUCUAUUUUUUGUGUUUGAUUUUGCUUCUAUUAUAGAUACUCUAAUUUGAACUUGCAGUCAAAUAAAUCAAUUGGAGAAGUUGGAUUCGAGGUUGUAAUCUAACUUUACAAAGUUUGUGUUCAAACUAGUUUAGCUUUGCUUCAUAAUCUGUUUUGUCUUUCUUUUUACUUCCUCUAAUCUUUUGUAUCUUAAACUCAUGUUUAAUUUAUUUUUCUUUUCUUUAUAAUUUAUAUUGAAAUAGAUUGAGCCUUUCAAAUAUUUAGAACAAUAAAUUUUACAAAGGAUAAUUUUUAGAAUGCAUUUAGAUUAUUGUAGAACUAUUGCACGUGUCUAUUUUACUAGUGUGUGUGUAUAUAUAUAUAUAUAUAUAUAAUUACAUCCCCCUCCCCUGUAGUUUGCCGAAAUUACGUGUGGGUCCAAGGGUUUGAGCGAUUUACACACCUCUCCCCUAUAGUUUAAAAGAUUGUUACAAUUAAGUCCAAUCCGUUAGUCACUGUUAAUUUAAAAUUGUUAGCUGGUGAUUUCACCAUUUUAAUGUUGAAAAUACCCUUUUUUAAAAAUUGAAGUUGCAAAAACACCCUUUACUUAAAACCAAACCUUUCAUACCCUUGACUUGGAACGAAAUUCAUCUUCAACCUUCGACUGCAACAGCCGACAAAGUUACGGGAGCGGAGAACAUAGGAGAACAGUGAUUCAGUUGAAGCUAACCUACGGGAGCGAAGCCAUACAACUCCAGCGAGGCUCAGAUUCACAUUGACGAACCCCCUCCCCUGUAUUUGAUAUGUUCUGUGUUUGGGGAUGAAUCUAGGGUUUAAAGCAUUUGUUGGUGAAGAAUCUAUCUUCUCUUUGCAUUGAAAUUUCCCUUUCCAUAUCUUCUUGUUUUCCAUUAGGAGCUGAGAGUGAAGCUUCUCUAUCUCUAUUGUAGGUGAAUCCAUUAGGUGGAUUCAAUUUCUUGAGACAUAGAAGCUGUGUGACUUUCUGGUCCCUUCCCUGCUACACUAAAUAGGAUUUUGGAAGUUGGAAGGAAAUUAAAUCUACCAUGCAUGAACGGAAACCUUUUUUUUUUUCUUUUUUAAUCUCAAGAAUAUCUCUCCAUUUUCUUAAUGAGAGGAGAAGAAGAUUUACUUUCAUUGGUGAUCAAUAAUCAAAUUCUAAAUAUCAUAAUACAUUAUGUGUAUUAAACAGCUAAAAAUUCAUUUAUACUAGUACUAAUAUUGGUGUAAUGAUUACCAAAAAAUAAAAAAUAUUGGUGUAAUGCAUAUUCCAUUGUGGUUUUAUGCAAAAGUCAUUAUGUCCCAUGUGUAUUGAAUAGAAAAAUCAAUUUUAUGGUGUUGUUCUGUGGCUGUGCUGCUGUAGUGCAUAUUUCAUUGUUGCUGAUGCAUCAGGUGGCUUUGAAAAUAAUUGCUUUGUAGAUUUGGUUCUUGGCCACUUUGGUCAAAUAAUCAGAUUUGCAGGGAUAAUUCCUUGAGAGAAACAAUUCUCUAUGUUCCUGAUUCUCAGGAUCAUCUACUGCUGCAUUUGGUAUAUCCCUAUAUAGAAUUGGUUUUCCGGACAAAUUCAAGGAGUAGGUUACCCUCACCAAAGAUAAAUAGGUAAAAAGGUAAGAAGAAAGAGAAAAAGACCUUAAGGAAAUUAGGAGGCUAGGUGUAUCCCAAGAACUUUUUUUCUUGUAAAUCACCACUCAUUAUUGGAAAAAGGAAAAAGGAAAAACAACUUAACAAUGCCUUUUCCCUAUUAAAGCCACACCUAUCCCGUUUCACAUACAGAAGAAAAUAUUUGUCCUUCAGUUGUGUUUUAUGAAAUGACCAGACAAGCAUAAUUAAUGAAAAUAAAAUCUUGUUAUAAUCAUUUUGAAGUGCUAUUUUGUGAGACAUUCCACAGUGAGAGAGACAGAGAUGGGAACAGAGAUGGGGAGUGCAUGGAAAAUGAAAUGCCUUUAAAGUUUGAUAUUGGUGGCCUUGAGAAUGUGAAAACAGAGCUCCAAGAGGCGUAAUUUAUCUGGUUUGUACCUUUUUUUUCCUACUCCCCACCACCUUUUCAGUUUGGAAUACAUUUGCUUACUAAAAAUUGUGUGCUAUCCAAUUGCAAUUUCAGUUGGAACCCCUACCAGAGACAACACAAAUAUUGUGGUUCGCAUCUGAUUUUGGUUAUUAUGUGCUUCAUUUAAAACAAAAGUUUGCUACAGUUCUGUGAACAGUGAGUGGACAAAUUUUAUGUUGUUUAUGGGAAAUAUUUUCAUCUAUUUGAAGUUCUUUAGAGGUCUUAUGUCAAGAAUAAUUUGGACUGCUACACUAUGAAGCUUACUGUUAAUCUUCUCUAGCUUCUCUUGGUUAUAGUCCAAUAUCCAAAGAGCAAGAAGGAAUGCAGGAGAGGAAGAAGUCUUGACAGCUGUGAAGGAAGCUUCUAGGAGCAUCUUGAUAUAUACUACUGUUCUUUGUGUUAUGUUUCAGAAUUUUUAGAAGAAAAUUCCAGAGAUUAAGAAGUGUUUUAUAGACAGCUGGAGUGGAAAGAGAGGUAGGAAGAAGAAGGGUGGAAGAAAAGUGGAAGAGAAAGAAAGUGAGAGAGUGCAACGGAAGAUCUGCAGAGGGAGCUGCUGCCCAGGCCAUUGUUCAACACCUUUGGGACUAAACACAAUUUUUUUCCAUUUGCUUCUCACAAGGCAAUUAGUGAAUACACAAGUGUGGAGAAAUUUUUCCAAUACUCAUUGUAUUUGUUUCCUACUUGCUGUAGGAAAAAACGAACCAAGGAUGUAGAGAAAACUUGUUCCAGUUUAUGAAGGAAACUGUAACUGAAGUCUAAAGGGGACUAGUGCUUCCUGCUAGAUUCAAUUUGAUGAGCCCACUCUUGGGUUGCAUGUCACUUGUCACAAAUUGGAAGCAUUCACUAACUCUAUUUUCCUCCGAGGGAUGAUGAUGCGUUUGAAAUGACCAAGUCAGAGUAGCAAGACAGGGGUGGUCAUUCACAAUGAGGUGGCAGAAUGGGUUGCAAAAGUUAGCAUUACGCAGUUGAUAAAGGAGUAUAAAGAAAAUUUGCGUUGAGUUGUUGCUUGAGAAAGAGGUCUUGCACCAAAAAGAUCAUAAUAGUAUAUUGCAUAUUGAGAAUCAAAUUGUAUAUAUUCUUUUUUUUUU